AACGAACGCUGGCGGCAGGCUUAACACAUGCAAGUCGAGCGCCCGCAAGGGAGCGGCAGACGGGUGAGUAACGCGUGGGAAUCUACCUAGUUCUACGGAACAACACAGGGAAACUUGUGCUAAUACCGUAUACGCCCUACGGGGGAAAGAUUUAUCGGAAUUAGAUGAGCCCGCGUUGGAUUAGCUAGUUGGUGGGGUAAUGGCCUACCAAGGCGACGAUCCAUAGCUGGUCUGAGAGGAUGAUCAGCCACACUGGGACUGAGACACGGCCCAGACUCCUACGGGAGGCAGCAGUGGGGAAUAUUGGACAAUGGGCGAAAGCCUGAUCCAGCCAUGCCGCGUGAGUGAUGAAGGCCUUAGGGUUGUAAAGCUCUUUCAGUAGGGAAGAUAAUGACGGUACCUACAGAAGAAGCCCCGGCUAACUUCGUGCCAGCCGCCGCCGUAA
rnacentral:rRNA from 1 species